AUGCCUCCUGCUGGCCUCCAGAGACUCCUGGGGCCAUCCACUGGCCUCUAUACCCUGGCAGAUGGUGGCUCCCUUGCCUUUUUGCUAGCCUUCCCCGCUCCUAGACCUGUUCCCACCUGGGCAAUCUUGACUCCCAGUAAAGCUGAAGGGCUUCAGGGAAACCACCAAAGCAAAAACCAGCUUUCUAGAGACAUCCUACGAACCUCGAACUCCACCAGUCGCUUCGAAGAGCCAGAGGGAAGCUGCUCACACCAGCCACCCGCCGUUGCUCCCGGGAUGCGUCGAGACCGGGAGAGGGAUGCUUGCACUUUCCCCCCCAACCCUUCAACCAAGGGCUCUGUCUCUCCCUGGAGCGGCUUCUCCGGACUGAGGCCCAGACUGCUCCAUUUUGACCAGGCCUCCAGAGGCGACCUCAGAGCGGCUUCUUGCUUUCUUCCCAGGCUCCCAGGCAUGCAGUGCCAGCUCUGGGUUCGGUUCCCCAAGGAAGAUGCCUUUCAGGCAAAGCUCUGUCCCUGUCCUCAACUUCCUCCACCUGGCUCUCAAUCCAGUCCAGCCAAAAAGGUCCUUUUCUCCACCGAAGAAGCAGAAGCAGAAAAGCACCGGGGAGUAGCCAGUUGCUGUUGGGCAACAUCUGCAUUCUAGCCCUCUACAGGAACCCCCUGCCCUGGAGUCCUGCAAGCCUUGAGGUAGGAGGCAGCUGAACCAGUCAAACUUUUCCUCUCAGGCACUGCUGUAUUUUUGUUGGGAAGGAGAGAGUACACAAAGAUUUCCUUGUCCGAUGUACACUUCCACCCCAUAUUCCUAAUGGCCAAAUUCAGGCUCAACUGGACUUUCUCAAAAAUUAACCUUAAGGAAGAAAUGAACACACUUUGCUGGGUGCUAAAAAAUUGUUCCCCACACAGCAGAUACAGAAUAAAGUCCUGCCACCUUUUAUAUUGAAUUUGAGC
rnacentral:lncRNA from 1 species